AUUGAACGCUGGCGGCAGGCCUAACACAUGCAAGUCGAACGAGUGGCGGACGGGUGAGUAAUGUCUGGGAAACUGCCCGAUGGAGGGGGAUAACUACUGGAAACGGUAGCUAAUACCGCAUACCAGCGGAUGUGACAAGAUGGGAUUAGCUAGUAGGUGGGGUAACGGCUCACCUAGGCGACGAUCCCUAGCUGGUCUGAGCGGAUGACCAGCCACCCUGGAACUGAGACACGGUCCAGACUCCUACGGGAGGCAGCAGUGGGGAAUAUUGCACAAUGGGCGCAAGCCUGAUGCAGCCAUGCCGCGUGUAUGAAGAAGGCCUUCGGGUUGUAAAGUACUUUCAGCGGGGAGGCGUUACUGGCAGAAGAAGCACCGGCUAACUCCGUGCCAGCAGCCGCGGUAAUAC
rnacentral:rRNA from 1 species